rnacentral:lncRNA from 1 species
CGCUAAGUGACGGGGACGUAAACACACCAGCAUCGGUUAUCAAGCAAUGCUAGGGGAACAAACACAGACACACAAACAUAUAUAUAUACAUACAUAUAUACGACGGGCUUCUUUCAGUUUCCGUCUACCAAAUCCACUCACAAGGCUUUGGUUGGCCCGAGGCUAUAGUUGAAGACACUUACCCAAGAUGCCACACAGUGGGACUGAACCCGGAACCAUGUGGUUGGUAAGCAAGCUACUUACCACACAGCCGUUCCUGCGCCUAUAUACAUAUGUAUACGACGGGCUUCUUUCAGUUUCCGUCUACCAAAUAUAUAUAUAUAUAGUGCCAAAGAUUCCAACUUUACCAUCAAAAUACAGGUCCAGAUACUGCAACAGCUUGGGUUUCAGAGGACCACAGCUCUUUAACAUCCUCCCUCAAUGCCUGAGAGACUUGCAUGGUGUGGACGUGGGUUUCUUUAAAACUGAACUGGAUCUCUUCUUGUUGGGAGUCCCAGAUGAACCUACCUCACGACAGGAGACGCGGAUGCGGGUAGCAGCAUCGAACUCCCUUGUUGAUCAAGUGCCACGUAUCAGAGGUGGAUUCACAUAUUAGUGUAGCUCAUUCAGCGGUGGUGCCCCAGCAUGGCCGCGGCCUUCGGGCUAAAACAAUUUUAAGGAUUUAUAUAUAUAUAUAUAUAUAUAUAUAUUUUAUAUAUAUGUGUGUGUGUGUGUGUAUAUAUAUAUAUAUAUAUAUAUACACAUGCACACACACACACACAGGCGCAGGAGUGACUGUGUAGUAAAGAAGAAUGCUUUCUAAGUACAUGGUUGCGGGUUCAGUCCUACUGCGUGGCACCUUGAGCAAGUGUCUUCUACUAUAGCCCCGGGCCAACCAAAGCCUUGUGAGUGGAUUUGGUAGACGGAAACUGAAAGAAACGCGUCGUAUACUUACAUACAUACACAUACAUACAUACACAUACAUACAUACAUACAUACAUACAUACGUACGUACGUACGUACGUACGUACGUACAUACAUACACACACUUCGUACGUACGUACAUACCUACAUGCACACACACACGUACGUACAUACAUACACACACACGCACGUACAUACAUACGUACGUACGUACGUACAUACAUACACACACACAUACAUAUAUACAAACAUACAUACAUACAUACAUCCAUACAUACAUACAUACAUAUACAAAUACAUCCAUACAUACAUACAUACAUACAUACAUGCAUAUAUACAUAUUUGUGUGUGGGUGCGCGCAUGUCUGUGUGUAUAUAUAUAUAUAUAUAUAUGUGUGUGUGUGUGCAUGUGUAUAUAUAUAGUGUGUGUGUGUGCGCGCAUGUGUCUGUAUAUAUAUAUAUAUGUGUGUUUGUGUGUGCGUGCAUGUAUGUGUGUAUAUAUAUAUAUGUGUGUGUGUGUGUGCAUGUGUAUAUAUAUAGUGUGUGUGUGCGCGCUUGUGUGUGUAUAUAUAUAUAUAUGUGUGUGUGUGCGCGCAUGUGUGUGUAUAUAUAUAUAUAUGUGUGUGUGUGUGUAUGUGUGUAAAUAUGUGUGUACGCAUGUGUAUAUAUAUGUGUGUGUGUGUGCAUGUGUGUGUAUAUAUAUUUAUGCGUGUGUAUAUGUAUAUAUAUAUAUAUAUAUGUGUGUGUGUGUGUGUGUGACGUGCUUCUUUCAGUAUAUAUUUAUACAUACAUAAAUAUAUACACAUAUUCUGUAUAUAUUUUUAUUAUAUAAUAUUAUAUAUAGAUAUAUGUAUAUAUAAUUGCAGUAUGAAACAGUGUUUAUGUAUAAACAGACGACAUUUAUAUAUAGUUAUUAAUAAAUGUAUGCAUCCGUUUAAAAGAAAAACCAAAAAAUAUUUUAUUCUUUAAAAAUGUUGUGUUGAAAAUAACAUUUUCUUUUAAGAAUGUGUAUAUAACAAAGUAUGUGUAUAUAACUACGUGGCUUAUAUAUCUAUAUAUAUAAAACUGUAGUUGUGUGAGUGUCUGUCCCCUUCGAUUUAGAUUCCUAACUACUCCCACAUUUUGCGGUGCAGUUUAACCAAAACCGGGUAUCUUAUAGUCGUGAUUCAUAUCGAGCCCUUCUGGGUAUUAGCGCGCGUCUACGAUGAGUCUAUGAUUUUAAAAAAAUUUACCAUCCUGUUUUUCCAUUUUAAUGCAUUUUUCGCUAUUAUAUAAGGGAAGUAACUCUCUAAAAAUGUCUACGAUGAGUCAACGAUUUAAAAAAAUAUUUACCAUAGUUUUUUUUCCAUUUUUAAUGCAUUUUUCUGCUAGUUUAACCAAAACCGGAUAUCUUAUAGUCGUGAUUCAUAUCGAGCCCUUCUGGGUAUUAGCGCGCGUCUACGAUGAGUCUACGAUCUUAAAAAAGAUUUGCCAUCAUUUUUUUCAUUUUAAUGCAUUUUUUCGCUAUUAUAUAAGGGAAGUAACUCUCUAGAAAUAUCUACGAUGUGUCAACGAUUUUUAAAAAAUUUACCAUCAUUUUUUUCCAUUUUAAUGCAUUU